UUUUAAUACUUUCUUCUUUUCGUUAUUGAGCUGUUGGUGGGUUGGGGCGAGGGGGUGAUUAGAGCUUUUGUGUUGAAGAUGGAAUUCGAAGUGAUUAGAAUUUGAAUGGAGGAUGUUUUCUUAUUGAUUUACAUUUGAAAAUUUGAAUCUAUUCGAGUGUUUAAUGUGUUUUAUUCUUGAUUGCAAUGCUCCUUGUCCUUGGCAGCCAUGGUUGAGUACUUGAAUUGAUGGAUUCCCAGGCAGAAUAGAUUGAAAUAGUGAUUGCUGAACCUGAAAGGUAAGCUGGAGUUACUUAGGUCUCAUAGCACGUAUCAGCUAAUCGGUUACGAGGUAAGCAUUGAAUCGCUUCCAUCCAAAUCGUUUGCUUAGUAGUCCGAAGGGAUCUCUAUUCCCUUCCACCCCUCCCCAUUCAAAGGAAAUUGAAAAGAAAAAAACAGAAACAUACAAAAAACCUUCGGUUUUCAGAGUUUGCCUUGCUGUUGUACACGCAAUCAGAACAUUCUUCCUUGGUGGUUGGAAUAUAGUCCCAAAGGCGAUGAACUUCCAAAAAUGGUAGGCCUCUUUACGGUUCUGCUUGAUGUGAAACCAUAGUUUGAGCAGUUCUGAGUAGGAAGCGUGUGCACACAAAAGUUUUAACCUUUUGUGCCAUUGAUAAGCCUACAAACGAGGUUUGAUAUGGUUGUUAAGUGUUUUUGUCCCAUUACAGGAUACAGUCAAAACUAGAUAACGCUAGUGCCAGUCAAAAGGAACUGACGCGCAGUUGUAGUUGUGGAACAGUUCCAAUUGUCUUAAACAACCACUUCAUUGUCACUGAGGUUGUUAAACUAAAAGCUUCUAGCAAAAAGACGAUUUUACUCCAAUCUCGAGAGUUUCUAUCUAUCUUGUUUUAGAGCUGAGAUAAAGAUUUUUUUUUUUGAA